rnacentral:rRNA from 1 species
GACGAACGCUGGCGGCGUGCUUAACACAUGCAAGUCGAACGAAGAGCGAUGGAAGCUUGCUUCUAUCAAUCUUAGUGGCGAACGGGUGAGUAACGCGUAAUCAACCUGCCCUUCAGAGGGGGACAACAGUUGGAAACGACUGCUAAUACCGCAUACGAUCCAAUCUCGGCAUCGAGGAUGGAUGAAAGGUGGCCUCUAUUUAUAAGCUAUCACUGAAGGAGGGGAUUGCGUCUGAUUAGCUAGUUGGAGGGGUAACGGCCCACCAAGGCGAUGAUCAGUAGCCGGUAUGAGAGGAUGAACGGCCACAUUGGGACUGAGACACGGCCCAGACUCCUACGGGAGGCAGCAGUGGGGAAUCUUCCGCAAUGGACGAAAGUCUGACGGAGCAACGCCGCGUGAGUGAUGACGGCCUUCGGGUUGUAAAGCUCUGUUAAUCGGGACGAAAGGUCCUCUUGCGAAUAGUUAGAGGAAUUGACGGUACCGGAAUAGAAAGCCACGGCUAACUACGUG